UACGUAGGGGGCAAGCGUUUGUCCGGAAUCAUUGGGCGUAAAGCGCGCGUAGGCGGCUAGAUCAGUCUGCUGUAAAAGUCAAAGGCUCAACCUUUGAAAGCCGGUGGAUACUGUCUAGCUAGAGUCCGGAAGAGGCGAGUGGAAUUCCUGGUGUAGCGGUGAAAUGCGCAGAUAUCAGGAGGAACACCGGGUGGCGAAGGCGGGUCUCUGGGCCGAUACUGGACGUGAGGAGCGAAAGCGUGGGGAGCGAACAGGG
rnacentral:rRNA from 1 species